rnacentral:rRNA from 1 species
UACGUAGGGUGCGAGCGUUUGUCCGGAAUUAUUGGGCGUAAAGGGCUCGUAGGCGGUUUGUCGCGUCGGGAGUGAAAUCCACUGGCUUAACUGGUGGCUUGCUUUCGAUACGGGCAGACUGGAGGUAUGCAGGGGGAGAACGGAAUUCCUGGUGUAGCGGUGAAAUGCGCAGAUAUCAGGAGGAACACCGGUGGCGAAGGCGGUUCUCUGGGCAUGAUCUGACGCUGAGGAGCGAAAGUGUGGGGAGCGAACAGG